rnacentral:rRNA from 1 species
GUGAACGCUGGCGGUAGGCCUAACACAUGCAAGUCGAACGGCAGCACAGUAAGAGCUUGCUCUUACGGGUGGCGAGUGGCGGACGGGUGAGGAAUACAUCGGAAUCUACUUUUUCGUGGGGGAUAACGUAGGGAAACUUACGCUAAUACCGCAUACGACCUACGGGUGAAAGCAGGGGAUCUUCGGACCUUGCGCGAUUGAAUGAGCCGAUGUCGGAGUAGCUAGUUGGCGGGGUAAAGGCCCACCAAGGCGACGAUCCGUAGCUGGUCUGAGAGGAUGAUCAGCCACACUGGAACUGAGACACGGUCCAGACUCCUACGGGAGGCAGCAGUGGGGAAUAUUGGACAAUGGGCGCAAGCCUGAUCCAGCCAUACCGCGUGGGUGAAGAAGGCCUUCGGGUUGUAAAGCCCUUUUGUUGGGAAAGAAAAGCAGCAGGUUAAUACCCCGCUGUUCUGACGGUACCCAAAGAAUAAGCACCGGCUAACUUCGUG